UUUGAAAAAGAAAAGUCUCAAAAAAAAAAAAAAAAUACACAGGAAACUGUAACAUGACACAGGAAACCCAAUGAAUGCUGGGAAUGAAUGGUUGACCACAUUUACUGUGUGACAGCACAAUGGUGCAAGCUGGCCAGCCUGAGCCUCUGAUUCCCAGACGUGGUGGUGAAGAAGGGCAGUCUGUGCUGGCCGAUGCCUGAUAACAGUGUUCUCAGACAAGACUUUCUUCUUCCUCCCUCUACCACUGUACCAGAGUCAGAUGUCCUCUGAGGCGGAGCGAGAGAAAUCUGCAAAAAGAGGUGCUGGAACCAUCCUGAGGUACGGCACUCGGCAUCAUGCUCUGCGUCUUGUGAGGCCACCUCACAUUCGGGCCAAGAGGCAAUUGCAUUUGGUGUGUGGGCUGGCAAGGAGCCUGUGAAUGGGGUGACAUGCUAAAAUGGUCACAGAGGUGGGGGAAGGG
rnacentral:lncRNA from 1 species